AAGUCGUAACAAGGUUUCCGUAGGUGAACCUGCGGAAGGAUCAUUAAAGUGAAAAGAUUUACACACCGUGCAAAACAAUACUCUAAUAGAUUAUAGCUGAAAUAAAGAAAUAAAAACAACUUUUAGCAACGGAUCUCUAGGUUCUC
rnacentral:misc_RNA from 1 species